UUGCCUUCUGUGGAGCCGUAGACUUCCCAGAUCCGAAUAGGACCGAAGCGCUGCUGGAAGGUCUCCCACACAUCAGCCCGUAGUCCAUUGCCCAUUGCCAGGCGGACUGUAUGUGUCCGGUCCUCUGGUUGCUACAGGAAUGUCCCCAGAAGGGCCCACGCCGACACUUACUCCCGUGGUCCUGUAGACUGGAGGGAUCCUCAGAAGUGGGCUUACCGAGAUCUAAGCAGCCGAGGAUCCCAACGACAAGUCCCAUCACGUGGUACAGAGGCAGGACCGUGUAAACCACAUCAUCAGCUGUGGCCCCAGAUAAGGACAGCAUCUUGCUCAUCUGCAGUACCCGCUCAUGCGUGAGGAUGGCUGGCUUCGGGAGGCCUUGGGAUGAAGGCAUGGCAAGGGCAGGGUGGUGACAUGACAGCACAGAGAGGGGCCUGACCAGAGGGAUAGAUCUCCAACAGCCAGGCCUACAUUGGGGUUUGAGGCUCUCAGAGAACAGUCAAGUAUAGGGAUUUGUGGUUGGGUUCACAGGCUGAAUUUGGACUGAAAGUAAUAUGUCAAGAUCAAAGGUUUCAGUGGCUGUUUACUGGACACAGGAAGAAUUCUGGCAUUGACCUCUCAAAUUACAUUGGGGGUCAGAGUUCAGGCCAAAUAUCAAAAUCAAGUCUGGGAGCAGUGGCUCACGCCUGUAAUCCCAGCAUUU
rnacentral:lncRNA from 1 species